rnacentral:rRNA from 1 species
CACGUAGGGGGCAAGCGUUAUCCGGAAUCAUUGGGUUUAAAGGGUCCGUAGGCGGUUUAGUAAGUCAGUGGUGAAAGCCCAUCGCUCAACGGUGGAACGGCCAUUGAUACUGCUAAACUUGAAUUAUUAGGAAGUAACUAGAAUAUGUAGUGUAGCGGUGAAAUGCUUAGAGAUUACAUGGAAUACCAGUUGCGAAGGCAGGUUACUACUAAUGGAUUGACGCUGAUGGACGAAAGCGUGGGUAGCGAACAGG